rnacentral:rRNA from 1 species
UACGUAGGGUGCAGGCGUUGUCCGGAAUUAUUGGGCGUAAAGAGCUCGUAGGUGGCCUGUCGCGUCGGCUGUGAAAACUCGGGGCUCAACUCCGAGCUUGCAGUCGAUACGGGCAGGCUAGAGUUCGGCAGGGGAGACUGGAAUUCCUGGUGUAGCGGUGAAAUGCGCAGAUAUCAGGAGGAACACCGGUGGCGAAGGCGGGUCUCUGGGCCAUUACUGACGCUGAAGAGCGAAAGCGUGGGGAGCGAACAGG